UACGGGGGGGGCAAGCGUUGUUCGGAAUUACUGGGCGUAAAGGGCGCGUAGGCGGUUGGAUAAGUCAGCUGUGAAAACCACGGGCUUAACUCGUGGCCUGCAGUGGAGACUGUCUGGCUUGAGUGUGGGAGAGGAGAGUGGAAUUCCUGGUGUAGCGGUGAAAUGCGUAGAUAUCAGGAGGAACACCGGUGGCGAAGGCGGCUCUCUGGACCACAGCUGACGCUGAGGCGCGAAAGCUAGGGGAGCAAACAGG
rnacentral:rRNA from 1 species